UUAACGGUCACAUUCAUUAGAUU
rnacentral:snRNA from 1 species